AACCAGUCCAAACAUUUUUUCUCUUUUUUCUCUUUCUCUUUCUUUUUUUGUUUCUGUUUUUCUUUUUGUUCUUCUUUUUCUUUUCGAAAGAAAAAAAAGG
rnacentral:ribozyme from 13 species